rfam:Haemonchus contortus, ISE/inbred ISE, WGS project CAVP01000000 data, contig: Hcontortus_9374
GGGACGAACCUGUAGUAGAAUAGUUUAGUAGGAUCAGCUGACCAUGCCCAACUAUUCUACUUCAAGUUUGUUCCC